rnacentral:rRNA from 1 species
AGGGUGUAAACGCUGCAGACUUGGUGUUGGGAACCCUUCGGGGGUGCUCAGUGCCGGAGAGAAGUUGUUAAGUCUGCUACUCGGGGAGUACGUCCGCAAGGAUGAAACUUAAAGGAAUUGGCGGGGGAGCACCGCAACGGGAGGAGCGUGCGGUUUAAUUGGAUUCAACACCGUAAAACUCACCAGGGAAGACUGUUACAUGAAGGCCGAGAUGAAGACUCUGCUAGAUUUUCAGAGAGGUGGUGCAUGGCGUCAGUGACU